GAUGAACGCUGGCGGCGUGCCUAAUACAUGCAAGUCGAGCGAACAGACGAGGAGCUUGCUCCUCUGACGUUAGCGGCGGACGGGUGAGUAACACGUGGAUAACCUACCUAUAAGACUGGGAUAACUUCGGGAAACCGGAGCUAAUACCGGAUAACAUGUUGAACCGCAUGGUUCAACAGUGAAAGACGGUCUUGCUGUCACUUAUAGAUGGAUCCGCGCCGCAUUAGCUAGUUGGUAAGGUAACGGCUUACCAAGGCAACGAUGCGUAGCCGACCUGAGAGGGUGAUCGGCCACACUGGAAGUGAGACACGGUCCAGACUCCUACGGGAGGCAGCAGUAGGGAAUCUUCCGCAAUGGGCGAAAGCCUGACGGAGCAACGCCGCGUGAGUGAAGAAGGUCUUCGGAUCGUAAAACUCUGUUAUUAGGGAAGAACAAAUGUGUAAGUAACUAUGCACGUCUUGACGGUACCUAAUCAGAAAGCCACGGCUAACUACGUG
rnacentral:rRNA from 1 species